GUGUGUCAGGGAGAGCCGAGUAAACAAUGGAGGAAUGACCUGUCUGCUCUUCACUUUGAGAAUAGAAUACAUGUCCACAAUUGGAAACCAAAUGCGCCAUGGUGAAUGAAAUUAAGACGUGGUUGAACACAUACAUAUUUGCAAAACGGUAUCAGAUUUUUUCGUACUUAACAAAGAAGAAAGGAAAUAACAGAACUAAGGUGGUGCAAAAAGUGCACUGCAACAACAGGUACCAAAUCAAACCUCCCCACACAGAGCCAGCUUUCAAAUAUGCUUGGAAUCAAGGCACAGGAGCAGAAGAAAAAAAAAAUAAAGGAAAAAAAUUA